rnacentral:snRNA from 1 species
AUUGCUUCUCAGCCUUUUGGGUAACAUCAAGUGUAGUAUCUAUUCUUAUCAGUUUAACAUCUCCAAAAAUAUUUGAAUAAAAGAGGCCAAAUACGCAGAUGAUUGUGAGCGAUUUAAAUUCCAAUGGGUUUUGCUUCCCUUUCUGUGUUGCUUUUU